rnacentral:rRNA from 1 species
UACGUAGGGUGCAGGCGUUAAUCGGAAUUACUGGGCGUAAAGCGUGCGCAGGCGGUUUGCUAAGACAGGUGUGAAAUCCCCGGGCUUAACCUGGGAACUGCGCUUGUUACUGGCAAGCUAGAGUGUGGCAGAGGGGGGUGGAAUUCCAGGUGUAGCAGUGAAAUGCGUAGAGAUGUGGAGGAACACCAAUGGCGAAGGCAGCCUCCUGGGCCAAUACUGACACUCAUGCACGAAAGCGUGGGGAGCAAACAGG